AACCGAGGUCACUGCCAUGAAUGUCACUUGAUAAUUAUACAUCAGUCAUAUUUUACCACUUCGAAACGCAAAAUUCGAUUCAUUUGCUCCACGAUCAUACAAACACAGAUAUUAAGCGCAUUUGAAGUCCUUACUGUAGUGACAUCAUUGUUUUGAUGACGAAAUAGCUGGCACAGUGAUCAACAACAUGGCCGAGGAAGAGUUCACAGACAUAAAUGGGAACUCGAUUUCUUUAGAUUGCCAAAAUCACUCUGCUUUCUGCAGAGAAUUCACUGUUAAUUCCCCGAAGAUGUCUUUACGCAAGGUUAUGGUGUACACCUGCGUUACAUGGUUAUUUGCUUACGCUAUAUUUUUCUUCACGGAGAACACGGCUGUCCUGUCGAGUGCCAUCAUUGUCACGCUAUUUGGGAUGAUGUAUCACAUUCACUUCGUGAAGGUGGACCACGAGACUCUUCUCAUCGUCGGCUCUCUUGGUGUCCAGCUGUCUUCAUCUUACGCAUCUGGACGAGAAAGCACGACUUUUAUUGAAAUUAGCAAGCUAAAAGACAUCGUCAUAAACGAGGCUGUUUAUAUGCACAGCAUCGUAUACUAUCUCUGCAUUCUGAUUAAGGACCCAGCAGAGCCUGACACUGUGACCAGCAUUGUGCCUCUUUUCCAGAGUUCAAAGCCUCGGCUGAAUUGUCUAAUUCAAGUGUACAGAAGUUGUCAAGAGAUUCUUGCACAGACCAGAUGACACAGAGAGUGUUCCUUUGAAACAGCAUACAGAUUUUGAGGAAACCUUCCAAAUAAACAACAAGCAUAUUGUUAAUCUAGCCAACAUGGGAAUUCUGAGUGACAUGCCCUCAUCCUCAAAAACCAUGAACAAAACUACACAAGGUGCUGUAACUGAUCUCAGACAUUCUACUUCCAUGAGACUGAGCCAUUGGAUUAGCCAUGCCCCCUCUUUCCAAAACCAGGCACUCCAAAGGUACUAGAAUGAGCUUUGGUUGUUAAAAACAACAGCUGCAAAACAUCGCCCUCAACUGAUAACUGUUAUGAACAACAUGGCAUAAAAAUGCAUUAUGCCUCAAUAAUUCACUGCAACUACAGUAGCCUACUAUGAAAACGUGCAAAAUGAUUGACAGGUGAAAAGUGUCCGUGGACCAUGGACACAUUUUUGUUUACCGUUUACAGAGUCAAGAACUGUCACAGAGACCGGUGAGAUAUCUCGGGACACUUAUUUAAUUAAUUUCUUUCAGGGAGUAGGAAAAUUUUUUGCAUACCUUUCCAUGUAAAAAUCGCUUACAGCACCUAUAGGGGAAUUUUUUAUUUCUUUUGUAUGAUAAACAAUUUUGGUACAUUGUUGUGGACACUUGAUGUCCAAUUUAAAAUCUGGGUGCUGAAGUAAAACCAGUUGAGAACCACUUCACUGACUUAUGCUUAACGCAUGGGCACAAAUAGAUACAAGAGGUUAGAGUUCAGAGGCCUUGUUGUUAUUCAAAUUUUGUUUCCCAUGUAGCUUUGCUCCACUCCCUCUGACCAUUUGCUAUGACCAUUCCCGUGGAGGCUGUGAAAACGACUGAAGGGUCUGAAAUUAUUCUGUUAGAUUGCUGUAAAGAUGCUCCUGACAGGAUAAUCAUCCCUCCUGGAGGUGUGAACCACCCAGGAACUCAGCUCGGGGGGUGUCAGUGUGGGAGUGACUGUCCUACAACCUCCAGACACUCAGAAGAAUACAUAAACAUGCUUUUCACCAUCAGCACUCAUCCAAUGAAUUAAACUCACUACUUGACUAUAACAAUAAGAUGGGUGUACUGCUUGGAUUGAUGUGUUUAUACUUCGUCUUUCUGACACAAUUAAAUGGCGAAAAACACUGUUUAUGUCUUUCUGUAUAAAUAAACA